CCUACGGGAGGCUGCAGUGAGGAAUAUUGGUCAAUGGGCGCGAGCCUGAACCAGCCAAGUAGCGUGAAGGAUGACUGCCCUACGGGUUGUAAACUUCUUUUAUAAAGGAAUAAAGUGAGCCACGUGUGCCUUUUUGUCUGUACCUUAUGAAUAAGGAUCGGCUAACUCCGUGCCAGCAGCCGCGGUAAUACGGAGGAUCCGAGCGUUAUCCGGAUUUAUUGGGUUUAAAGGGUGCGUAGACGGUUUUUUAAGUAAGUGGUAAAACGUCGGGGCUAAACCUUGAGUUGCCAUUUAUACUGGAAGUCUUGAGUGCAGAUGAGGUAGGCGGAAUACGUGAAGUAGCGGUGAAAUGCUUAGAUAUCACGUAGAACUCCGAUAGCGAAGGCAGCUUACUAGACUGCCACUGACGUUGAUGCACGAGAGUGUGGGUAGCGAACAGGAUUAGAUACCCUAGUAGUC
rnacentral:rRNA from 1 species